rnacentral:rRNA from 1 species
AACUGACUUAGAGCUGCAAUCCCAUACUCCGUGGCUCAGUUCAGAUCGUAGGCUGCAUCUCGCCUACGUGUAGUAGGAAUCGCUAGUAAUCGCUGGUCAUCAUACUGCGGUGAAUACGUUCCCGGGCCUUGUACACACCGCCCGUCACACCAUGGAAGUUGGCCACGCCCGAAGUCGUUACUUUAACCCUUGUGGAGAAGGACGCCGAAGGUGGGGCUGAUGACUGGGGUGAAGUCGUAACAAGGUAGCCGUACCGGAAGGUGCGGCUGGAUCACCUCCUAA